UAGACAAUUUAGGGUUUGGACCACAUAAACCUCUAAGAUAGUCUGAUCAAAAAAAAAAAAGGAAAAAGAAAACCUCUAAGAUAGUUAUCGUCUUCCUCAUUCGGAAGUUUGUUUCCUCAUGGGGAUUUUCCUUAUUCCUGCACUAAAACGAAGUGAUAAGAAGUGCAAAAAUAACAACAUAUAAAGGAAUCAUAUUACACGUUCCGUUCCCCCAACCAAACACGCCAUAAGAGUUCAGAGUGACAAUGGCACGUAUUGGUUUCAGUUUCAGAACCAGCCGACAUCUGUUAAUUCGAUCAUCAUCACUUUCUUCACCUUCUCAAUCUCAAUAGUUUCUCCGCCAGAUGAGCAUGGCCACACAAAGCGCUGUCUCUACGCUUAGCGAUCCUGGUCUCUUAAGAAGCCAAGGACUUAUAGGAGGGAAAUGGGUUCAAGCAUAUGAUGGAAAGACCAUACAGGUAAACAACCCCGCCACAGGAGAGGUGAUAACAAAUGUCCCAUGCAUGGGUAGGAAGGAGACAACCGAUGCAAUAUCGUCAGCCUCUGAAGCUUUUAAAACUUGGAGCAAGCUUACUGCAAACGAACGGAGCAAAUGCCUGCGCAAAUGGUACGAUUUGCUGAUUGCUCACAAAGAAGUUCUUGGAAAACUCAUAACGUUGGAGCAAGGAAAACCUUUAAAGGAAGCUAUUGGAGAGGUAACCUAUGGGGCUAAUUUCAUUGAUUUCUAUGCUGAGGAAGCCAAACGUAUAUAUGGGGAUAUAAUACCAGCCACUCUAACUGAUCGUAGAUUAUUUGUUAUAAAACAGCCCGUAGGUGUUGUAGGAGCAAUUACACCCUGGAAUUUUCUUUUGGCCAUGAUCACUCGAAAGGUUGGCCCAGCUCUUGCAUGUGGUUGUACAGUUGUUAUUAAGCCCUCUGAACUGACACCAUUGACAGCAUUAGCAGCAGUUGAGCUCUCCAUUCAAGCUGGAAUACCGCCGGGUGCUGUUAAUGUGGUUAUGGGGAAUGCUUCGGAAAUCGGAGACACUCUCUUAGAAAGUUCACAGGUAAGGAAGAUCACGUUCACCGGAUCAAUGGCUGUUGGGAAAAAACUGAUGGCAGGUGCUGCACAAACUGUGAAAAAGAAUACCAUGGUAUCUGGUUUGCGCCUGAAAUGUUUGGAAUUGUGGAGUUCUUCCCUUUUCUUUAGGAUUCAAAUCUGGGUAACAACUGGCAGUUAUGCUGUGACAUGUGAGUCAAACAUUUUUUGGGUAUAGCUCAUUUGUAAUACAUCUUAACUCUAUUUGUCAUUGCUAAUACAAUAAUUCUGUUUAGCCAACUGGUCAAACCCACUCUUCAAACCCACUGCGUAUGUGGCGCUUACGUGGGCUGACUUUCGAUUGAUUUGAUAUCUUCCGUGUUUUUUCUUUUUCCUUUUUUCUUUUGUUUUUUGAUCCCUAUCUCACCAUGAAGCCAUAAACUCGCUCUAAGGAAGAAAAACGUUUGAGAAGGAGAAACCCAAAGCAAUAUCCAACAGAGGGCUGGACAGAUGGAAGAAAUCAGAAACCAAAAACUUGCUGUCAUUCAGGCUAGUCCGUCGACAAUUGAUGGGAAUUUGGCAUUUUUGAUAUGUGGUUGGUGAUUUUGUUGUUUAUGGUUGUUUUUACGUGUGGGGGUAAUUGGUGGUGUUCUUGUUUGUUGUUUAUGGCUUAUGGCCAUCAUCUUGAGUAAAUUAAAGAUCCCCCGUAUGGAAUCAGGUGCAGACAUGUUCAGAGGACAAGACUGUUAUGCUUACAACCACAACCUCUCUGUACCACCGCCAGCCACAGAAAUGGC